rnacentral:rRNA from 1 species
CCUACGGGCGGCAGCAGUGAGGAAUAUUGGUCAAUGGGCGAGAGCCUGAGCCAGCCAAGUCGCGUGAAGGAUGACGGCCCUACGGGUUGUAAACUUCUUUUGUCAGGGAGCAAUUGGGUCCACGCGUGGGCUUAGCGAGAGUACCUGAAGAAAAAACAUCGGCUAACUCCGUGCCAGCAGCCGCGGUAAUAAGGUGGAUGCGAGCGUUAUCGGGAUUUCUUGGGUUUAAAGGUUUCGGAGGAGGAAUAUCUAGUCGGCGGUAAAAAUUCGGGGCUAAACCCCGUCGUGCCGUUGAAACUGAUGUUCUUGGGUGGGCGAGAAGUAUGCGGAAGGCGUGGUGUAGCGGUGAAAUGCAUAGAUAUCACGCAGAACUCCGAGUGCGAAGGCAGCAUACCGGCGCCCAACUGACGCUGAAGCACGAAAGCGUGGGUAUCGAACAGGAUUAGAUACCCGUGUAGUC